GGAGAGCAUGAAGUUUGGAGCAGGGAUCACUGGAGAUUCUCACUGGGGCCAUUUAUGAGCUGCCAGAGUCUGCUCGGCUCCAGGAAAGGUCAGGGAGUCGAUGUGCCCGAGAUCGGUCUCAAGCAACAGAGGAUGAGAGUCUGCAGACGAACGCCCUAGCCCCUUGUCCUUCAGGGAACAGAAGGAAGAGACAGCCACCUUCGUGUCUGAGUAAUGAGUCAUAGCGGGCGCCUGAUCUCUUCUCUCAAUGUUUACUAAGAGAAUGGAGUGAGAGCAGAGGAGAAAGGAAUUGCAGAGGAAAUGUUUGCUUCUCUGUUUUAAGCUCGUUGGAAAGGAUAAGUUAAGAAGGAAUAAGAAAGAUAUCCCCUUUUUUAGGUCAAAAUAGAACUGUUCUCUUUGCAGUAGUCAUAGUGCUCAGAACACCAAAGACACUUUCCUGGGUGACAGAGUCAUGAGACUGCUGAAAACAAUGUAUGGAUGAGCACAUAAUGCUGUGUUGGGUAAGGCCUCAGAGCUGAUGCAAGUUUCUUGGCCUAAUUGGCUGGAUUACUCUCCUUGGUCACUAAUGUCAAUACUCAGUUGAGGCAUUCAUCUUUCCAAUGUGUUUUCCUGUGAAGUGUUGCUUAGGUUUGACGUGUGUUUGGUAUAGAUAGAUUGAGCAGUUUGUAUCACCAAGGAUGUCAGAAUAUUUCUACUCUCCCCACCCAAUAAGUAUCACUUAAUACAUUCCUUGGGGCCCUUCCUCACUUCUGUGGACUAAACUGUGUCCCCCAAAAUGUAUAUGUUGAAGUCCUAACCCCCAUGUGACUGUAUUUGGAGACAGGGCCAAAAGGAAGUAAUGAAGGUUAAAUGAGGUCAUAAAGGUGGGACCCUAAUCUGAUAGGACUAGUGUCCUUGCAGGAACAGAC
rnacentral:lncRNA from 1 species